AGUACAAUUACUGGGUCAUAUAGUACUUACAUGUCUUGUUUAAGGAAAUUGCCAAACUAUUUUCCAGAGCGCCUCUACUAUUUCAUAUUCCCACCAGAAGU
rnacentral:pre_miRNA from 1 species